GACGAACGCUGGCGGCGUGCCUAAUACAUGCAAGUCGAGCGAAGUUUUUCUGGUGCUUGCACUAGAAAAACUUAGCGGCGAACGGGUGAGUAACACGUAAAGAACCUGCCUCAUAGACUGGGACAACUAUUGGAAACGAUAGCUAAUACCGGAUAACAGUAUUUCUCGCAUGAGAGAUAUUUAAAAGUUGGUUAUGCUAACACUAUGAGAUGGCUUUGCGGUGCAUUAGCUAGUUGGUGGGGUAAAGGCCUACCAAGGCGACGAUGCAUAGCCGACCUGAGAGGGUGAUCGGCCACACUGGGACUGAGACACGGCCCAGACUCCUACGGGAGGCAGCAGUAGGGAAUCUUCCGCAAUGGGCGAAAGCCUGACGGAGCAACGCCGCGUGAGUGAAGAAGGAUUUCGGUUCGUAAAGCUCUGUUGUUAGGGAAGAAUGGAUAUGUAGUAACUAUACAUGUAAGAGACGGU
rnacentral:rRNA from 1 species